rnacentral:rRNA from 1 species
UACGUAGGGUGCGAGCGUUGUCCGGAAUUAUUGGGCGUAAAGAGCUCGUAGGCGGCUUGUCGCGUCGGAUGUGAAAGCCCGGGGCUUAACUCCGGGUCUGCAUUCGAUACGGGCAGGCUAGAGUUCGGUAGGGGAGAUCGGAAUUCCUGGUGUAGCGGUGAAAUGCGCAGAUAUCAGGAGGAACACCGGUGGCGAAGGCGGAUCUCUGGGCCGAUACUGACGCUGAGGAGCGAAAGCGUGGGGAGCAAACAGG